rnacentral:rRNA from 1 species
ACAUGCAAGUCGAGCGCGAAAACACUUCGGUGUGAGUAGAGCGGCGGACGGGUGAGUAAUGCUUGGGAAUCUGCCCAAUAGUGGGGGAUAACGUGUGGAAACGCACGCUAAUACCGCAUACGUCCUACGGGAGAAAGCAGGGGAUCUUCGGACCUUGCGCUAUUGGAUGAGCCCAAGUCAGAUUAGCUAGUUGGUGGGGUAAUGGCUCACCAAGGCGACGAUCUGUAGCUGGUCUGAGAGGAUGAUCAGCCACACUGGGACUGAGACACGGCCCAGACUCCUACGGGAGGCAGCAGUGGGGAAUAUUGCACAAUGGGCGAAAGCCUGAUGCAGCCAUGCCGCGUGUGUGAAGAAGGCUCUAGGGUUGUAAAGCACUUUCAGUGGGGAGGAAAAGCUCAAAAUUAAUACUUUUGAGCCUUGACGUUACCUGCAGAAGAAGCACCGGCAAACUCCGUGCCAGCAGCCGCGGUAAUACGGAGGGUGCGAGCGUUAAUCGGAAUUACUGGGCGUAAAGCGCGCGUAGGUGGUUUGAUAAGCUAGCUGUGAAAGCCCUGGGCUCAACCUGGGAACUGCAGUUAGAACUGUCUGGCUAGAGUAUAGUAGAGGGUGGCGGAAUUUCCUGUGUAGCGGUGAAAUGCGUAGAUAUAGGA